rnacentral:misc_RNA from 1 species
CCAGCCAUCCCUAACCUUGCAG